rnacentral:tRNA from 2 species
UGGCGUGUAGCUCAGCGGCUAGAGCGUUUGGUGAAUAGCCAGGAGGUCGCCGGUUCGAGUCCGGCCACGUCAA